GACGAACGCUGGCGGCGUGCCUAAUACAUGCAAGUCGAGCGAAGUUUUUCUGGUGCUUGCACUAGAAACACUUAGCGGCGAACGGGUGAGUAUCACGUAAAGAACCUGCCUCAUAGACUGGGACAACUAUUGGAAACGAUAGCUAAUACCGGAUAACAGUAUUUCUCGCAUGAGAGAUAUUUAAAAGUUGGUUAUGCUAACACUAUGAGAUGGCUUUGCGGUGCAUUAGCUAGUUGGUGGGGUAAAGGCCCACCAAGGCGACGAUGCAUAGCCGACCUGAGAGGGUGAUCGGCCACACUGGGACUGAGACACGGCCCAGACUCCUACGGGAGGCAGCAGUAGGGAAUCUUCCGCAAUGGGCGAAAGCCUGACGGAGCAACGCCGCGUGAGUGAAGAAGGAUUUCGGUUCGUAAAGCUCUGUUGUUAGGGAAGAAUGGAUAUGUAGUAACUAUACAUGUAAGAGACGGUACCUAACCAGAAAGCCACGGCCAACUACGUG
rnacentral:rRNA from 1 species